AGAUUGAACGCUGGCGGCAUGCCUUACACAUGCAAGUCGAACGGCAGCACGGGAGCAAUCCUGGUGGCGAGUGGCGAACGGGUGAGUAAUACAUCGGAACGUGCCCAAUCGUGGGGGAUAACGCAGCGAAAGCUGUGCUAAUACCGCAUAAGAUCUACGGAUGAAAGCAGGGGAUCGCAAGACCUUGCGCGAAUGGAGCGGCCGAUGGCAGAUUAGGUAGUUGGUGAGGUAAAGGCUCACCAAGCCUUCGAUCUGUAGCUGGUCUGAGAGGACGACCAGCCACACUGGGACUGAGACACGGCCCAGACUCCUACGGGAGGCAGCAGUGGGGAAUUUUGGACAAUGGGCGAAAAGCCUGAUCCAGCCAUGCCGCGUGCAGGAUGAAAGGCCUUGGUUGUAAACGUGUCUUUUGUACGGUAACGAAAAGUUAACGUCUUUACUAAUUAAAGAAGGAAGUACAAUAGUAACGGUACCGUAAAGAAUAAGAACACCGGACUAACUAACGUACG
rnacentral:rRNA from 1 species